GACGAACGCUGGCGGCGUGCUUAACACAUGCAAGUCGAGCGGAAAGGCCCACUUGUGGGUACUCGAGCGGCGAACGGGUGAGUAACACGUGAGUAAUCUGCCCUUCACUCUGGGAUAACGUUCAGAAAUGGGUGCUAAUACCGGAUGUGCACAUGGUCUCGCAUGGGGUUGUGUGGAAAGAUCUUUUGGUGGGGGAUGUGCUCGCGGCCUAUCAGCUUGACGGUGGGGUAAUGGCCUACCGUGGCUUUGACGGGUAGCCGGCCUGAGAGGGUGACCGGCCCCACUGGGACUGAGACACGGCCCAGACUCCUACGGGAGGCAGCAGUGGGGAAUAUUGGACAAUGGGCGGAAGCCUGAUCCAGCAACGCCGCGUGAGGGAUGACGGCCUUCGGGUUGUAAACCUCUUUCACCAUUGACGAAGCUGCAUCUUUUUGGGUGUGGUGACGGUAGGUGGGGAAGAAGCACCGGCCAACUACGUGCCAGCCGCCGCGGUAAAAC
rnacentral:rRNA from 1 species